GAUAUCUUUCUCUUUGGUUCAUACUAAACAAUAAAUCAAGUCUGUUAUAUAUCUCACAUGUUUCUCUUUUUUUUUUUCUUCUCACUUCUUAAUCUCUUCCUACUUUGUUAUCACGCCCAAAAUUAGCUUGAGAAAUUCCUGCUUACAAUGUACGGAAUUUUGUUGAAUAAAAAAAAAAUUGUGCGUAAUUUAGUGAAUAUUUAUUUGUUUAAUUUUGAGAGUGUUUCUGAAAAAGGAGUUUGGUUUAGCGACUUUGAUGGUAAAGCGUAACGUGCUUAAACCUACCUACCCCACACACAAGACACAACACAGUGAAUAGUGAUAUCUAGUCUAUUUUUUGAAUGAGCAGUCUGAAGCUGAGCAUACAGUAAGACAGUGUAUUCGUUGGCAUUUAUUGUCUGAGGUCGCUCACUUUCUAUUCCUCACAGUUUGGCCUAUAUAAGUUAUAAAUUAUACUGUAACAGUACCAUAAAGUAAGUAACAGUAACAUUGCCAAAGGUCAAAAAGAAUGGCAUCACUGAUGUGAUGUCUUUUUCUCCCCGUACUUGCCUCUAGUACUCGGUGCCCCAAAUCAGCUGUUGUAUUGUAUGAUAUGAUGUAUAUCUGUUUCCAAAUUGAGUUUCAUCUCUAAAUCAUCUACGCACAACCACAAAUGUGAAUAAUAUAAUACAUACAUUCAUGCACCAUCAUCAUCUUUACGCUUUCGAUAAAAACAAAAAUAAAUGUAGUAAAUCCAAACAGUCUUAAAAUUUUGUAAAUACUAGUAGUAGUACUAGAGAGGCUACUGUUAUAUAUAAUCGUUUUUCUUUUACGUGACACAAGAACAAAGAACCAUUAAUUACCCUAUAUGUGGAGGCACAUGCUCUAUACUAUACUCUGUAGUUUUCAUGUUCAUGACUAUAUAUAUAUAUGCAAUUUUCCGUUGAACUAGAACACUCUCUUUCUGUGAAAACUGAUUGAUUACUUUUUCCAUGGCGGUGCUCUGCUCCCAUUACAAUAUCAGAAUAACAUUAAGUCAUGUUAAGAGCCCCAAAUCUAUCUCUUCUCUCCCAGGGGAUGGAUGAUACUCCAAUACAAUGUAAGGAAUCUUCAUAAUAUGUUUUGCUAUUAUGGUUUGUGUUAAAAAUAAAAUGACCACUAGACAUUGGAAAUGAUUUGGUCUCUUAUCAAUUGUAAAUGAAAAAUGCUUGCU